rnacentral:rRNA from 1 species
GAUGAACGCUGGCGGCGUGCCUAAUACAUGCAAGUCGAGCGAACGGACGAGAAGCUUGCUUCUCUGAUGUUAGCGGCGGACGGGUGAGUAACACGUGGAUAACCUACCUAUAAGACUGGGAUAACUUCGGGAAACCGGAGCUAAUACCGGAUAAUAUUUUGAACCGCAUGGUUCAAAAGUGAAAGACGGUCUUGCUGUCACUUAUAGAUGGAUCCGCGCUGCAUUAGCUAGUUGGUAAGGUAACGGCUUACCAAGGCAACGAUGCAUAGCCGACCUGAGAGGGUGAUCGGCCACACUGGAACUGAGACACGGGCCAGACUCCUACGGGAGGCAGCAGUAGGGAAUCUUCCGCAAUGGGCGAAAGCCUGACGGAGCAACGCCGCGUGAGUGAUGAAGGUCUUCGGAUCGUAAACUCUGUUAUUAGGGAAGAACAUAUGUGUAAGUAACUGUGCACAUCUUGACGGUACCUAAUCAGAAAGCCACGGCUAACUACGUG